rnacentral:rRNA from 1 species
GACGAACGCUGGCGGCGUGCUUAACACAUGCAAGUCGAACGGAAAGGCCCUGCUUUUGUGGGGUGCUCGAGUGGCGAACGGGUGAGUAACACGUGAGUAACCUGCCCUUGACUUUGGGAUAACUUCUGGAAACUGGGGCUAAUACCGGAUAGGAGCUCCUGCUGCAUGGUGGGGGUUGGAAAGUUUCGGCGGUUGGGGAUGGACUCGCGGCUUAUCAGCUUGUUGGUGGGGUAGUGGCUUACCAAGGCUUUGACGGGUAGCCGGCCUGAGAGGGUGACCGGCCACAUUGGGACUGAGAUACGGCCCAGACUCCUACGGGAGGCAGCAGUGGGGAAUAUUGCAGAAUGGGCGGAAGCCUGAUGCAGCAACGCCGCGUGCGGGAUGACGGCCUUCGGGUUGUAAACCGCUUUCGCCUGUGACGAAGCGUGAGUGACGGUAAUGGGUAAAGAAGCACCGGCUAACUACGUG